rnacentral:rRNA from 1 species
CGCUGGCGGCGUGCUUAACACAUGCAAGUCGAACGAAGCACUUAUGAAAGAUUCUCGGAUGAUGGAUUAAGUGACUGAGUGGCGGACGGGUGAGUAACGCGUGGGUAACCUGCCUCAUACAGGGGGAUAACAGUUAGAAAUGACUGCUAAUACCGCAUAAGCGCACAGUACUGCAUGGUACAGUGUGAAAAACUCCGGUGGUAUGAGAUGGACCCGCGUCUGAUUAGCUAGUUGGUGGGGUAACGGCUCACCAAGGCGACGAUCAGUAGCCGACCUGAGAGGGUGAUCGGCCACAUUGGAACUGAGACACGGUCCAAACUCCUACGGGAGGCAGCAGUGGGGAAUAUUGGUCAAUGGGCGCGAGCCUGAACCAGCCAAGUAGCGUGAAGGAUGACUGCCCUACGGGUUGUAAACUUCUUUUGUUUGGGAAUAAAUGAUACUACGUGUAGUAUUUUGCAUGUACCUUACGAAUAAGCAUCGGCUAAUUCCGUG